GUGGGGAAUUUUGGACAAUGGGCGCAAGCCUGAUCCAGCAAUGCCGCGUGCAGGAAGAAGGCCUUCGGGUUGUAAACUGCUUUUGUACGGAACGAAACGGUCCUGGUUAAUACCUGGGGCUAAUGAUGGUACCGUAAGAAUAAGCACCGGCUAACUACGUGCCAGCAGCCACGGUAAUACGUAGGGUGCGAGCGUUAAUCGGAAUUACUGGGCGUAAAGCGUGCGCAGGCGGUGCUGUAAGACAGGCGUGAAAUCCCCGGGCUCAACCUGGGAAUUGCGCUUGUGACUGCAGUGCUGGAGUACGGCAGAGGGGGAUGGAAUUCCGCGUGUAGCAGUGAAAUGCGUAGAUAUGCGGAGGAACACCGAUGGCGAAGGCAGUCCCCUGGGCCUGUACUGACGCUCAUGCACGAAAGCGUGGGGAGCAAACAGGAUUAGAUACCCUGGUAGUCC
rnacentral:rRNA from 1 species